GAAAGAUCCGCCACCCCAAAACGCUCCACGGUGACAAUGGGGUAAGCUUUGGCCAAUGGGUUGACCCCAAUGGGGUCAGUGGGGCCGAUCCCGAUCCUUAUGGGGUCAGUGGGGUCAACGUUGGCCAAUGGGUCGGUCCUGGGCCUAAUAGGGUCAGUGGGGUUGACUCCGACCCUAAUGGGGUCAGUGGGGUCAGCCCCGACCCCAAUGGGGUCAGUGUUGGCCAAUGGGUCAGUCCUGGCCCUAAUGGGGUCAACCCGGACCCUAAUAGGGUCAGUGGGGUUGACCCCGACCUUAGUGGGGUCAGUGGGGUCAACCCCGGCCCUAAUGGGGUCAAUGGGGUCAACCCCGACCCUAAUGGGGCCAGCAUUGGCCAACGGGUCAACCUUGACCCCAGUGGGACCAGUGGGAUCAACCCCAACCCUAAUAGGAUCAACGGGGCCAACCUUAACCCUAAUAGGGUCAGUAGGGUCGACCUUAACCCUAAUAGGGUCAACCCCUAUAGGGCCGGCGCUCCUUUUGUCCCUUUUCUUCCCUUUUGGCCCCAAAUCCACGGGUAGGAAUUCGACCUUCAGCUCUUCGUCCCCAUUGUCGUCUUUUAGGAUCGGGAGUUUAUGGGGUGGCGGGGAGUCGGCAUCUAUGGGGUCGGAUGUCACCUCCUCUAUGGGGUCGGCGCUGCUGUGGGGUGGAGCGAAGCCGCGGGCGGAUAGAAGCAAUGGGGUGGCGAUGUGGGAUAUGGGGCCGUUGGAUAUGGGGCCGUCCGCUGUAGGGUCGUCGGUGUCGGGAUCCCAAAUUCGGGGGAGGUCGCGCAGAUCGGGAGCGGCUGUAGGGGGGGAAAACCCCAUAAAGGGUCAUCAGGGCAACCCCAAGACCCCAUAGAUCCCAAAUGGGGUUAAUGGGGUCGGGAGGAACCCCAAAGAGCCCAAAUGGGGGCUAUAGGAUCAUAAGAGACCCCAUAGAUCCCAAAUAGGGUUAAUGGGGUUGGGAGGAACCCCAAAGAGCCCAAAUGGGGGUUAUAGGAUCAUAGGAGACCCCAUAGAUCCCAAAUAGGGUUAAUGGGGUUGGAAGGAAACCCCAAAGAGCCCAAAUGGGGUUUAUAGGACCACAGAAACCCCCGAAGAACCCAAAUGGGAUUUAUAGGAUCAUAGGAGCCCACAAAGUCCCCAAAUGGGGGUUUAUAGGACUGUAGGGUCCCCCAAAGAACCCAAAUGGGGUUUAUAGGAUCAUGGGAGCCCCCAGAAACCCCAAAUGGGGUCUAUAGGAUCAUAGGAAAUCCCCAAAGACCCCAAAUGGUGUUUAUAGGACUACAGGAGCCCCCAAAGACCCGAAAUGGGGUUUAUAGGAUCACGGGAGCCUAUAAAUGGGGUUUUAAUGACUGUAGGGUCCCCCAAAGACCCCAAAUAGGGUUUAUAGGAUCAUAGGAGCCCCAAAGACGGUUUAUAGGAUUGUGGGAGUCCCCAAAGACCCCAAAUGGGGUUUAUAGGAUCAUGGGAGCCUACAAAUGGGGUUUAUAGGGCCAUAGAGGUCCCCCAUAGACCCCAAAUGGGGUUUAUAGGAUCAUAGGAGCCCCAAAUAGGGUUAAUAGGAUCACGGGAGCCCCAAAUAGGGUUUAUAGGAUCAUGAGAGCCCCCAAAGACCCCAAAUGGGGUUUAUAGGAUCAUGAGAACCCCCAAAGACCCCAAAUGGGGUUUAUAGGAGCCCCCAAAGAAAGACCCCAAAUCCACCCCAAUCCCCCCCAAUAAAACUCCAUAUCCCCCCCCCCCCGACCCCAUAAACUGCCGCCCCCCCCGACCCCAUAACCCACCUGUAGGGCCGCAGAGGAGCAAUAGGGCCAAGGCGCCCCACAGGCGCUGCCCCAUUGCGGGGGUCGGUUGGUAUUAUGGGAUGGCAAUGGGGUGCGGGGGAACCUUUGACCCCAUAAAGGGGGUGGGGUGGAAACCUGAGCCCAACCGACCCCAAAGACGAUCCCAUUGCCGGUAAUGGGAGCGGCUGCGGGGCAUAUGGGGUCAGAGGGCAAAGGGGGGGGGGUUAUGGGGUUAUGGGGGGGGUUAUGGGGUUAUGGGGGGGUUAUGGGGUGAUAGGGUGGAUAUGGGGCUGUGGGAUUAUGGGGUUGAGGGGGAUUAUGGGGUUAUAGGGGGUUAUGGGGUUAUGGGGGAGGGUUAUGGGGUGUUAUGGGGUUAUGGGGGGGGUUAUGGGGUUAUGGGGGGGGACUUUGGGGGGGUUAUGGGGUUUUGGGGUGACAGGGUGGAUAUGGGGCUAUGGAAUUAUGGGGUUGAGGGGGAUUACAGGGUUAUAGGAGGUUAUGGGGUUAUGGGGGGGGUUAUGGGGUUAUGGGGGGUUAUGGGGUGAUAGGGUGGAUAUGGGGCUAUGGGAUUAUGGGGUUGAGGGGGAUUAUGGGGUUAUAGGGGGUUAUGGGGUUAUGGGGGAGGGUUAUGGGGG
ensembl:lncRNA